AGAGUUUGAUCCUGGCUCAGGACGAACGCUGGCGGCGUGCCUAACACAUGCAAGUCGAACGAAGCUUGACGAAUGAUUUCUUCGGAAUGAAAUCUGAUAUGACUGAGUGGCGGACGGGUGAGUAACGCGUGAGCAACCUGCCCUUCGGAACGGGAUAGUGUCUGGAAACGGACAGUAAUACCGUAUAACGUAUUUUUACCGCAUGAUAGAAAUACCAAAACUGAGGUGCCGAAGGAUGGGCUCGCGUCUGAUUAGAUAGUUGGUGGGGUAACGGCCUACCAAGUCGACGAUCAGUAGCCGGACUGAGAGGUUGAACGGCCACAUUGGGACUGAGACACGGCCCAGACUCCUACGGGAGGCAGCAGUGGGGAAUAUUGCACAAUGGGGGAAACCCUGAUGCAGCAACGCCGCGUGAAGGAAGACGGUUUUCGGAUUGUAAACUUCUGUUCUUAGUGAAGAAUAAUGACGGUAGCUAAGGAGCAAGCCACGGCUAACUACGUGCCAGCAGCCGCGGUAAUACGUAGGUGGCAAGCGUUAUCCGGAAUUACUGGGUGUAAAGGGAGCGCAGGCGGGAUAGCAAGUCAGCUGUGAAAACUAUGGGCUCAACCCAUAAACUGCAGUUGAAACUGUUAUUCUUGAGUGGAGUAGAGGCAAGCGGAAUUCCGAGUGUAGCGGUGAAAUGCGUAGAUAUUCGGAGGAACACCAGUGGCGAAGGCGGCUUGCUGGGCUCUAACUGACGCUGAGGCUCGAAAGUGUGGGGAGCAAACAGGAUUAGAUACCCUGGUAGUCCACACUGUAAACGAUGAUAACUAGGUGUGGGGGGUCUGACCCCUUCCGUGCCGCAGCUAACGCAAUAAGUUAUCCACCUGGGGAGUACGACCGCAAGGUUGAAACUCAAAGGAAUUGACGGGGGCCCGCACAAGCAGUGGAGUAUGUGGUUUAAUUCGAAGCAACGCGAAGAACCUUACCAGGUCUUGACAUCCGAUGCAUAGUGCAGAGAUGCAUGAAGUCCUUCGGGACAUCGAGACAGGUGGUGCAUGGUUGUCGUCAGCUCGUGUCGUGAGAUGUUGGGUUAAGUCCCGCAACGAGCGCAACCCCUGCCAUUAGUUGCUACGCAAGAGCACUCUAAUGGGACCGCUACCGACAAGGUGGAGGAAGGUGGGGACGACGUCAAAUCAUCAUGCCCCUUAUGACCUGGGCUACACACGUACUACAAUGGCA
rnacentral:rRNA from 1 species